rnacentral:rRNA from 1 species
UGGGGAAUAUUGGACAAUGGGCGAAAGCCUGAUCCAGCCAUGCCGCGUGUGUGAAGAAGGUCUUCGGAUUGUAAAGCACUUUAAGUUGGGAGGAAGGGCAGUAAGCGAAUACCUUGCUGUUUUGACGUUACCGACAGAAUAAGCACCGGCUAACUCUGUGCCAGCAGCCGCGGUAAUACAGAGGGUGCAAGCGUUAAUCGGAAUUACUGGGCGUAAAGCGCGCGUAGGUGGUUCGUUAAGUUGAAUGUGAAAGCCCCGGGCUCAACCUGGGAACUGCAUCCAAUACUGGCGAGCUAGAGUAGGGCAGAGGGUGGUGGAAUUUCCUGUGUAGCGGUGAAAUGCGUAGAUAUAGGAAGGACCACCAGUGGCGAAGGCGACCACCUGGGCUCAUACUGACACUGAGGUGCGAAAGCGUGGGGAGCAAACAGG